UACGAAGGGGGCAAGCGUUGUUCGGAAUUACUGGGCGUAAAGGGUGCGUAGGCGGUCCGCUAAGUUGGAUGUGAAAACUCUGGGCUUAACCCAGAGCCUGCAUUCAAAACUGACGGGCUAGAGUUCUGGAGGGGGUAGCGGAAUUUCUGGUGUAGCGGUGAAAUGCGUAGAUAUCAGGAGGAACACCGGUGGCGAAGGCGGCUACCUGGACAGAAACUGACGCUGAGGCACGAAAGCUAGGGGAGCAAACAGG
rnacentral:rRNA from 1 species